UCCCUUGUAGCUCAGUUGGUAAAGAAUCUGACUGCAAUGCAGGAGACCCAGGUUCAAUUCCUGGAUUGGAAA
rnacentral:tRNA from 1 species